CACGAGACAUAGUUGUCUCCUGUGGGC
rnacentral:misc_RNA from 1 species